rnacentral:rRNA from 1 species
GGUUAAGCGACUAAGCGUACACGGUGGAUGCCCUGGCAGUCAGAGGCGAUGAAGGACGUGCUAAUCUGCGAUAAGCGUCGGUAAGGUGAUAUGAACCGUUAUAACCGGCGAUUUCCGAAUGGGGAAACCCAGUGUGUUUCGACACACUAUCAUUAACUGAAUCCAUAGGUUAAUGAGGCGAACCGGGGGAACUGAAACAUCUAAGUACCCCGAGGAAAAGAAAUCAACCGAGAUUCCCCCAGUAGCGGCGAGCGAACGGGGAGCAGCCCAGAGCCUGAAUCAGUGUGUGUGUUAGUGGAAGCGUCUGGAAAGGCGCGCGAUACAGGGUGACAGCCCCGUACACAAAAAUGCACAUACUGUGAGCUCGAUGAGUAGGGCGGGACACGUGGUAUCCUGUCUGAAUAUGGGGGGACCAUCCUCCAAGGCUAAAUACUCCUGACUGACCGAUAGUGAACCAGUACCGUGAGGGAAAGGCGAAAAGAACCCCGGCGAGGGGAGUGAAAAAGAACCUGAAACCGUGUACGUACAAGCAGUGGGAGCCUCUUUAUGGGGUGACUGCGUACCUUUUGUAUAAUGGGUCAGCGACUUAUAUUCUGUAGCAAGGUUAACCGAAUAGGGGAGCCGAAGGGAAACCGAGUCUUAACUGGGCGUUAAGUUGCAGGGUAUAGACCCGAAACCCGGUGAUCUAGCCAUGGGCAGGUUGAAGGUUGGGUAACACUAACUGGAGGACCGAACCGACUAAUGUUGAAAAAUUAGCGGAUGACUUGUGGCUGGGGGUGAAAGGCCAAUCAAACCGGGAGAUAGCUGGUUCUCCCCGAAAGCUAUUUAGGUAGCGCCUCGUGAAUUCAUCUCCGGGGGUAGAGCACUGUUUCGGCAAGGGGGUCAUCCCGACUUACCAACCCGAUGCAAACUGCGAAUACCGGAGAAUGUUAUCACGGGAGACACACGGCGGGUGCUAACGUCCGUCGUGAAGAGGGAAACAACCCAGACCGCCAGCUAAGGUCCCAAAGUCAUGGUUAAGUGGGAAACGAUGUGGGAAGGCCCAGACAGCCAGGAUGUUGGCUUAGAAGCAGCCAUCAUUUAAAGAAAGCGUAAUAGCUCACUGGUCGAGUCGGCCUGCGCGGAAGAUGUAACGGGGCUAAACCAUGCACCGAAGCUGCGACAGCGACACUAUGUGUUGUUGGGUAGGGGAGCGUUCUGUAAGCCUGCGAAGGUGUACUGUGAGGUAUGCUGGAGGUAUCAGAAGUGCGAAUGCUGACAUAAGUAACGAUAAAGCGGGUGAAAAGCCCGCUCGCCGGAAGACCAAGGGUUCCUGUCCAACGUUAAUCGGGGCAGGGUGAGUCGACCCCUAAGGCGAGGCCGAAAGGCGUAGUCGAUGGGAAACAGGUUAAUAUUCCUGUACUUGGUGUUACUGCGAAGGGGGGACGGAGAAGGCUAUGUUGGCCGGGCGACGGUUGUCCCGGUUUAAGCGUGUAGGCUGGUUUUCCAGGCAAAUCCGGAAAAUCAAGGCUGAGGCGUGAUGACGAGGCACUACGGUGCUGAAGCAACAAAUGCCCUGCUUCCAGGAAAAGCCUCUAAGCAUCAGGUAACAUCAAAUCGUACCCCAAACCGACACAGGUGGUCAGGUAGAGAAUACCAAGGCGCUUGAGAGAACUCGGGUGAAGGAACUAGGCAAAAUGGUGCCGUAACUUCGGGAGAAGGCACGCUGAUAUGUAGGUGAAGUCCCUCGCGGAUGGAGCUGAAAUCAGUCGAAGAUACCAGCUGGCUGCAACUGUUUAUUAAAAACACAGCACUGUGCAAACACGAAAGUGGACGUAUACGGUGUGACGCCUGCCCGGUGCCGGAAGGUUAAUUGAUGGGGUUAGCGGUAACGCGAAGCUCUUGAUCGAAGCCCCGGUAAACGGCGGCCGUAACUAUAACGGUCCUAAGGUAGCGAAAUUCCUUGUCGGGUAAGUUCCGACCUGCACGAAUGGCGUAAUGAUGGCCAGGCUGUCUCCACCCGAGACUCAGUGAAAUUGAACUCGCUGUGAAGAUGCAGUGUACCCGCGGCAAGACGGAAAGACCCCGUGAACCUUUACUAUAGCUUGACACUGAACAUUGAGCCUUGAUGUGUAGGAUAGGUGGGAGGCUUUGAAGUGUGGACGCCAGUCUGCAUGGAGCCGACCUUGAAAUACCACCCUUUAAUGUUUGAUGUUCUAACGUUGGCCCCUGAUCGGGGUUGCGGACAGUGUCUGGUGGGUAGUUUGACUGGGGCGGUCUCCUCCUAAAGAGUAACGGAGGAGCACGAAGGUUGGCUAAUCCUGGUCGGACAUCAGGAGGUUAGUGCAAUGGCAUAAGCCAGCUUGACUGCGAGCGUGACGGCGCGAGCAGGUGCGAAAGCAGGUCAUAGUGAUCCGGUGGUUCUGAAUGGAAGGGCCAUCGCUCAACGGAUAAAAGGUACUCCGGGGAUAACAGGCUGAUACCGCCCAAGAGUUCAUAUCGACGGCGGUGUUUGGCACCUCGAUGUCGGCUCAUCACAUCCUGGGGCUGAAGUAGGUCCCAAGGGUAUGGCUGUUCGCCAUUUAAAGUGGUACGCGAGCUGGGUUUAGAACGUCGUGAGACAGUUCGGUCCCUAUCUGCCGUGGGCGCUGGAGAACUGAGGGGGGCUGCUCCUAGUACGAGAGGACCGGAGUGGACGCAUCACUGGUGUUCGGGUUGUCAUGCCAAUGGCACUGCCCGGUAGCUAAAUGCGGAAGAGAUAAGUGCUGAAAGCAUCUAAGCACGAAACUUGCCCCGAGAUGAGUUCUCCCUGACUCCUUGAGAGUCCUGAAGGAACGUUGAAGACGACGACGUUGAUAGGCCGGGUGUGUAAGCGCAGCGAUGCGUUGAGCUAACCGGUACUAAUGAACCGUGAGGCUUAACCUU